AGUAAAAUCUUAAAAAAAAAAAAAGAGUCCUUCGGUUAGGGAUGGGGUAUUCCUGGGUUCCCCUGAAUCUAGAGUAUGAAGUAGGCCGGCUAUUUACGGGUGCCUUUUCUUCUCCCUCUGUGCUGCAGAUCCUGCCCUUCUGGAGAAGAAGACGAACCAGUGUCACUUGUGCUCCCAACAGCGUAUACCUGGGUGAGAAGACCAACCCAGAAGGCACAUGUUAGAUGACUGGAGGAAGAGGUGGAGAGGCAGGGAGCCUGGUCACCAGGGCUCACAUCCGGAGAAACCAAAGACACACGCUGAACAAAGAACAGGAGGGGGAAUCCUGUGGGAAUGGUUGGGAGGAUCUUCCACGCAAAUGUACACUCAGCCCUUUCCCAGGAGACAGAUGUGGCUCUAAUGACAAUCAUCUCUGAGAAAGUACCUUUUAACUGUCAUGAAUGUGAGAAAUGGUUUCUUGCAAACCUGAACCUGCUGGACAGACGCCCCUUCACUGUGUUAAACAUAACACGAGUUCUUGCCAGAUCCCACUGCCAGCGAAACAUCGGAGACUCGGCAUGCAGAAGAAACCUUCGGAGUGCAGUGAGUGUGGGAAAUUCUUCACUCAGAGGUCAUCUCUUACUCAGCAUCAGGGGAUUCACGCAGGGGGGCAGCCCUACGUAGGCAGUGAGUGCGGGACCUGUUUCCGUAAACAGUCAAAUCUUACUCAACAUCUGAGGAUUCACACGGGAGAAAAACCUUGUAAAUGUAAUGCAUGAGAGAAAACCUUUCAAACAAAAGCGAUUCUUGUCCAGCAUCUGAGAAUUCACACUGGAGAGA